CCUACGGGUGGCAGCAGUGAGGAAUAUUGGUCAAUGGGCGCGAGCCUGAACCAGCCAAGUAGCGUGAAGGAUGACUGCCCUACGGGUUGUAAACUUCUUUUAUAAAGGAAUAAAGUGAGGCACGUGUGCCAUUUUGUAUGUACCAUAUGAAUAAGGAUCGGCUAACUCCGUGCCAGCCGCCGCGGUAAGACGGAGGUUCCGAGCGUUAUCCGGAUUUUUUGGGUUUAAAGGGAGCGUAGGUGGAUUGUUAAGUCAGUUGUGAAAGUUUGCGGCUCAACCGUAAAAUUGCAGUUGAAACUGGCAGGCUUGAGUACAGUAGAGGUGGGCGGAAUUCGUGGUGUAGCGGUGAAAUGCUUAGAUAUCACGAAGAACUCCGAUUGCGAAGGCAGUUCACUGGACUGCAACUGACACUGAGGCUCGAAAGUGUGGGUAUCAAACAGGAUUAGAUACCCGGGUAGUC
rnacentral:rRNA from 1 species